AAAAGCUGGGAAAAUUUUCAGAUGCUAUGCUAGGGUGUAGUGAUCAAAUUUGUCCAGCUCAAGACUGGAACGACAGCAAACUUAUCCCAUACAUAUAAAUACAGUUCAGCCCAAUCUCGUCAAGGCCAUUAUCAACCUUAUGGGCUUCAACUAAAACUACCCAUUAGGAUUUUGAUCAGAGCAAAAGUCCAAGAACAAAUAUGUCUCCGUGAAGUCUUACUGAGGGCAGGAUUCAGAAGCUGUACAUGUAAACAAGACGACGACAAUGGAGAAGAGAGCACGGAGGCAAUUGGAUUGUAUUUCUCGUCACCUUGUAUUACCACCUCAAGCUAAUCAUGGUCUGCAGCAGGUGCUGUUAUUAAGUAAUGGGCAAGUGAAGAGUGAGGAGGCAGAGCCUGUGGUGCUGUUAUUACUGCUUUCCAGCCUCCACAACCACAAGUGCCAUGCUUGAGCAUCGUGUUGGCUUGUCUCCACCUAUGGUAUUUACCGAAAAAAGAGCUCCAUUUCUUCUAGGGUUUUGCCCUGUGUUUCGGGGAGCAUUGUAUAGAAAAAGACUCAACUCGAUGCUCCAAUUCCCGCUUAACGAAAGAAGGCCCCACCAAUCGUGAUGACAAACAUACAACAGUCGUAUUGUACAUGUACGUAUGUAUUUUUAAUAUUUUAUACACGUAAUUUUUUCAAAA